AGAACACAAGUCGAUGUCGAAUCCGUAUAUUUCUUUAAAAUAUUGUUUCUUUCGAAAAAUAUAUUCCAGAUAUUUCUUCGUUGACAUUUACUAUUUUCCUUCCUUCUACAUUAAAGAUAAGUUUAUCUCUCUUAAUCUAAAACCCUAGCACCACGAUCAUUGUAACUACACCAACCAGACCGAAACGUCCACUCUUUUCCUCACCCCGCGAUCAACUCACUUUCUCUAACUUACUCUAGCACUGACUAACCUGACUAAACUUCGGCUUAAACUAAUUCUUAAUUUCUUCUGAUUUCUCUUUCCUCUAAUUUCUUCUUAUUUAAUCCUAACUCUCUUAGCCUUAUUUACUCUAGCACUCCCGUCAGAGACGAAGAACCUGUGAGGCCAAAACGAGGGAUGACUUUGGUUCCUUACAGUGUGUUCGUUUGUCCGUUGUGGCAUUAUCCUAUCUUCUGUCAUUCACUUAUCAUACACAAACUUGCCACCUUCUGUUUCUUUCAGACAAAAAAGAAUUAUUUAUAUAUACCUGUAUUAAUUGUAAAACGAAAUGAAAAAAAAGCUAGUACUUAUCUUAAUCGAAAGAACUUUUUCCAUGCACGUUGUGAACCAUAUCUCAAGGUACUCAUCUUGGCAUUCUAACGUUGAUAGGCACGAACACUCUUGUUAGUCGCCUUUUAAGGCAAGCACUUGUUACUACCAUCAAAGUCUCCUUUUUUCGUUUAUUAUCAUAGUUUCACUUUUUCAACAAAGUUUUUCUUCAUUAGGUUCAAGUUUCAAUACAAUAAUAUAUGUUGAAUGUAUGUAUGCACGGCGUAAAUAGAACAGACAAAAAGAAGAUAAUUGCUAAAAGCUAAAAUUAGUCUAAGUAACUCAAAAUAAAGAUGAAUAAAAGGAACUUUAAAAGUUAAAUAAUUAAAAAUGUAAUACAACUACCAUAAAACCAAAACAAAAAAAAAAAUGCAAUAAUCCUCUUCUUCAAUCAACUUCAAUCCUCUGUAAACGGCCCCAGGAUGCGGCAAGGUCCCCGAGUAGAAGUAGUCAAAAGAGACUACCACUCCAAGGAAAUGCCGAGGCGAAGCACUGAAUCAGUGCAGCAACUACAACCAGAAAGGAGAGUCAAAAGCAAAAUUUCCAGCAACGAACUCAUUAAUAAUGCCAGCAACCAUAAUAUUAAUCUUUAAAGAUAACUUUAGAUGAUUUAUUCAGCUAAAGAUUUUAUUUCAAAAGCACUCCAAAAACACUUCGCGACAGUAAACAUUUUUUCUAAGUAAAAACGUAAUUAACAAAAACAAUUAGGUAGAACAACCGAUAUCAGAAGUUAAAGACUUAAUUAUGCCCAAUCAAUCUAUACUUCAUGAGACAUCGAUCUAAAUGAACUCGAUUCAAUCGCAACCAUAACUUAAACUCUUACAGAACUUUUGUGAAAACCAGACGAAUUUAGCUCGUGGAAGAAAAGUGUCGAAACUACACUAGAAAUAUAUAUAUAUCAUUUGAAAGGUAGCCCAAAAUAUUAUGGCAUAUUAAUCCUAAGAAACAAAAUAGUAGGACAAGCGGGCGAAGCUCUUAAAUCCUGCAAUACACCACUAAACUGGAAGAAGAUAUCAAAGUGCUUAACAACGGAGUUAUUGGCGUUUUGUUUAGUUGACCCGGCAUGAGAGAACCAGCGAAUUUACCACAAGCAUUACAUCUAAACUUCAGAAUGCGAGCUACUGGAGGCAUUAUGUCAAUACUAGACAAGCUACAAGUCGUAGAAACCUCGCAUCACUUUUACCCCUAAAACGGAAUUGCUAACUUAUUUCAGAACCAGCAAAAACCACCUCCAUCUUUCCAAAGGCAGUAUCAGGCACCAACAAUUAAGAGACAAUAUUAUUGAGGACAACCAUCUGAGCGAAUACUACACACACGCACAAAAACGGGAAUCUUCGUAGCAAUGCUAAAGAAUGUUCCAAGUGACACAAAUGCUUCAACAUAACGUACGAGCAGGAAGUAGAUGGAGAAAACAUAGCAGAAACAAAUUUAGAUUAAACUUGACGAAUAAAUGUGUGACUAUAUACGACUAUAUGUGACGAAUAUAUGAAUACUGAAAGAGCGAUGAAGAUGAAGAAUUUAUGCUUAAUGAAGAAAUUUGGUUACAAUAAAAAGAAGCGUACAUUCCAAUUUGCUGGAGUUGCCAAAGAUUUUCUCCCAGUUAAUUGCAUAGAAUCGAUAUUGCGUAAAAUUUCACUGUUAAAAAAGGAGAAUAUAUAAUAUGUACGCACCUGAUCGCUCCUAAGGGAAAUCAUGUAAACCGCAAUACAAAUUUUUAUAUUUAAACAAUCCUCGUUCCAAGUAAAUUCUAAUAGAUUGGCGAAAAUGCUCUCCCAUACCUAUAGGUGGUUUUACUUGUCACUUCGAGGUAAGCAGGUAUAAAGCGUCGCGUGGGGUCUUAUUAUUUAGCUUACUUCUUGUGGGAUAUAAGAGGACAUUUCCAAUAUCCUGUACAGUGAAUAAAACGCAUUUAAGACAUUACAUUUGUAAUAAGUCGCGGAAGGGAGGCGAUGCAUCGUUUGCCUGCGAAAACUUAUUUGUGAAACGAGGUUGUAAAUGUUCAGACUUGUCUAAGGCGAUAUGUCAAACAUCGUUUCAGAUAUCUUAGUCGGCGAUUUGGAUGAUCACGACAUUUUGUCGCACGCUGCAGAGUAGCCCACAUGCAACGGUUUUGCAAAUGCAAGGGACCUAGGAAUCCACUAUUGGCCCCUGCGGAACGCUUUAAACAUCUUUAAAUAUAUAUAAGAGGUAUAUCUAAGAGAUACACUUGAGAACUAUAGAGGAAUCGCCAAGUUGAGUGUCUUUCAUAAAUUGUUUGAACGAAUUGUUACGUAGCAUUUAGCUUUUGUUAUCAAGUCUUUUAUAUCUCCAUUCCUUUCUGAAAAGGACGACUGAAGCAGUAAACAACACCUGUUAAUUUUGAAUCAUGACAUCAUUUAGGUGUCCGCAAACAACUCUGACUGGAUUAAACAGUUCAUAAUUCUGUUUCCACUGACUAAGCUUAAUGAAAAUAAAGUGCCUAGAAAAGCGAUUAGAGGCAUUAAAGGUUAUCGCACCAAAUAACGUGGGCAAAUUUACUUAACUUAAUUAGAAAGGAAACACCAAGAAUAAAUCUACGUUCCCCAAGCGAUAGAAUGGAUAACAGAAGCAACCAAUUCUCAUAAGGAGGUAAGGAGACAAGAAUGUCUCAACACAAAUUCCUAAGGGCAAACAGCAAAAAUUGCUUUUGAACUGAUUCAAUAGAAUCCAGAUAACUUCUAUAAGAAGGGGACCAUACAGGUGAGGAAUACAUAAAGUAUUGGUUUAACUAAGCACAUUGUAACAUUUAAAUUAAACAAAUAUUUACUUGUGCUGUCAGUACUCUAAAGUGUAAAGCUGCUAUCUAUAGGAGGUUUAGGGCAACCUUGCGGUACCAAUUGAAGAGGAAUGGAGACCUAUGAUCCUAGUGUAUGUGCAAAAGCUGAGCUAGCUGGUCCAAAAGAUGUGGGAGGGAUUCUUACCGAAUAUCAGAUGGACGAAACUCUAACCAACCGAUUGGCCUAGGCCUAUUCUAUACCUAUCCUGCCUAUCGGUCUCCCUUCGGCCCAUAGAAAGGUUAGGGGGGACCCCGAAGUUGAGUCCGAAGACCUCUCUAAUCUACGUUCUUCUCAUAAUUAAAAUCGGUUUUAUUUUAAUUUGUUUUUGUUUUCUCCCAUGUUACAGUUAUACUUAUUUGAAUAAUAUAUUUCACAUUUAUCGUUAACGUUAAUUUACUAUUGGUAUCUCUUUUAAUUUAAUGAUAAAAAUAAAAGUAACGUAAAAAAAAUAAAUCAAAUAUAAUACGGGUAUAAGUAUAUUACAGAUCAGUGAACUUUAAAAUUAUUAAUUAUUCAUAAAUUUCUCCCUAUAUAGAUGUGGCCACAACUUAAAUGUUCAUAUUGUUACGAAAAUCCCUAAUCUAGUUCAUUCCAGCUAUGUCAUUUUCCCAA